rnacentral:rRNA from 1 species
UGGCGGCAUGCCUACCAUGCAAGUCGAACGAACCCUUCGGGGUUAGUGGCGCACGGGUGCGUAACGCGUGGGAAUCUGCCCUUGGGUUCGGAAUAACAGUUAGAAAUGACUGCUAAUACCGGAUGAAGUCUUCGGACCAAAGAUUUAUCGCCCAGGGAUGAGCCCGCGUAGGAUUAGGUAGUUGGUGGGGUAAAGGCCUACCAAGCCGACGAUCCUUAGCUGGUCUGAGAGGAUGAUCAGCCACACUGGGACUGAGACACGGCCCAGACUCCUACGGGAGGCAGCAGUGGGGAAUAUUGGACAAUGGGGGAAACCCUGAUCCAGCAAUGCCGCGUGAGUGAUGAAGGCCUUCGGGUCGUAAAGCUCUUUUACCAGGGAUGAUAAUGACAGUACCUGGAGAAUAAGCUCCGGCUAACUACGUGCCAGCAGCCGCGGUAAU